rnacentral:tRNA from 1 species
GACCAGAUAGCUCAAUUGGUAGAGCAUCCGUCUACAGUUCGGAGGGUUCCGGGUUCGAACCCCGAUCUGACCG